rnacentral:rRNA from 1 species
AUUGAACGCUGGCGGCAUGCUUUACACAUGCAAGUCGAACGGUAACAGGCCGCAAGGUGCUGACGAGUGGCGAACGGGUGAGUAAUGCAUCGGAACGUGCCCAGUCGUGGGGGAUAACGCAGCGAAAGCUGUGCUAAUACCGCAUACGAGCUAUGGAUGAAAGCGGGGGGCCGUAAGGCCUCGCGCGAUUGGAGGGGCCGAUGACAGAUUAGGUAGUUGGUGGGGUAAAGGCUCACCAGGCCAACGAUCUGGAGCUGUCGGAGAGGACGACCAGCCACACUGGGACAGAGACACGGCCCGGACUCCUACGGGAGGCAGCAGUGGGGAAUUUUGGACAAUGGGCGCAAGCCUGAUCCAGCAAUGCCGCGAGCAGGAAGAAGGCCUUCGGGUUGUAAACUGGUUUUGUACGGAACGAAAAGGUUUGGGUUAAUACCCUGGGCCGAUGACGGUACCGUAAGAAUAAGCACCGGCUAACUACGUGCCAGCCGCCGCCGUAACAC